rnacentral:rRNA from 1 species
GAUGAACGCUGGCGGCGUGCCUAAUACAUGCAAGUCGAGCGAACGGACGAGAAGCUUGCUUCUCUGAUGUUAGCGGCGGACGGGUGAGUAACACGUGGAUAACCUACCUAUAAGACUGGGAUAACUUCGGGAAACCGGAGCUAAUACCGGAUAAUAUUUUGAACCGCAUGGUUCAAAAGUGAAAGACGGUCUUGCUGUCACUUAUAGAUGGAUCCGCGCUGCAUUAGCUAGUUGGUAAGGUAACGGCUUACCAAGGCAACGAUGCAUAGCCGACCUGAGAGGGUGAUCGGCCACACUGGAACUGAGACACGGUCCAGACCCUACGGGAGGCAGCAGUAGGGAAUCUUCCGCAAUGGGCGAAAGCCUGACGGAGCAACGCCGCGUGAGUGAUGAAGGUCUUCGGAUCGUAAAACUCUGUUAUUAGGGAAGAACAUAUGUGUAAGUAACUGUGCACAUCUUGACGGUACCUAAUCAGAAAGCCACGGCUAACUACGUG